CUGGUGGAAGAAAGUUCCUGCUGGUGUUGCCAUGGAAGCUGAUUUCUACACAUCAGAAGCACGAAAAUCUGAAGGCUGCUGAACUGGAGCUGGUGGUUAGAACAGCCACUGUUAUUAUCCCAAACCAAAAGGAGGGUGGUAAUAAUGACGACCACGGAUUCUUAAAUAUGUCUUCCGUCCUCAAUGAUUUCAAAGUUCCCAGGAAACGGCCUCACAUGAAGUGCCAGCAUGGCCAAGCAAGUUCAUCCAGCUGAAGUCCACCCCUGUACUAAAGAUAUCAUAGGUUGGGACUGCAGACAAAUUUUAUGUUGCUUAGAUCUCAACUUUAUUGCUUAAGAUAAGGACAUUGAGGCCGAGAGAUGCGGAAGUGCCCGGCCUACAGUGGUACUGCCAGCUAGAAGCUGGGCAAGGCUCCCAGCUCAAGAAGCUGCUACCCUCGCCUUAGAAAACCAAUCGCUUGGCUGCAGCUGUGAGAAGCUUUGGCACUCUAAGAGAUAUCUUUCCUUUUGCAUAGGAAUUCUGGGGGCACUUGCUUCUGGUGAUAAACAGGCAGAAUAAUGGCUUAA